rnacentral:rRNA from 1 species
GACGAACGCUGGCGGCGUGCCUAAUACAUGCAAGUCGAGCGCAGGAAACCGUUCCGAACCCUUCGGGGGGACGACGGUGGAAUGAGCGGCGGACGGGUGAGUAACACGUAAAGAACCUGCCCAUAGGUCUGGGAUAACCACGAGAAAUCGGGGCUAAUACCGGAUGUGUCAUCGGACCGCAUGGUCCGCUGAUGAAAGGCGCUCCGGCGUCGCCCAUGGAUGGCUUUGCGGUGCAUUAGCUAGUUGGUGGGGUAACGGCCCACCAAGGCGACGAUGCAUAGCCGACCUGAGAGGGUGAUCGGCCACACUGGGACUGAGACACGGCCCAGACUCCUACGGGAGGCAGCAGUAGGGAAUCUUCCACAAUGGACGAAAGUCUGAUGGAGCAACGCCGCGUGAACGAUGAAGGCUUUCGGGUCGUAAAGUUCUGUUGUAAGGGAAGAACAAGUGCCGCAGGCAAUGGCGGCACCUUGACGGUACCUUGCGAGAAAGCCACGGCUAACUACGUGCCAGCAGCCGCCGUAA